rnacentral:rRNA from 1 species
UACGUAGGGGGCAAGCGUUGUCCGGAUUCAUUGGGCGAAAGAGCGUGUAGGCGGCCAGGUAGGUCGGUUGUGAAAACUGGAGGCUCAACCUUCAGAGGUCGACCGAAACCAUCUGGCUAGAGUCCGGGAGAGGAGAGUGGAAUUCCUGGUGUAGCGGUGAAAUGCGCAGAUAUCAGGAAGAACACCCGUGGCGAAAGCGGCUCUCUGGAACGGUACUGACGCUGAGACGCGAAAGCGUGGGGAGCGAACAGG